UUAAUUGAAGCCAAAGGGGAGAGGCAUAUUACUGUUAAUAAUAGAAAUGAGAUAAAUUAUCUCCAAUUAAG
rnacentral:tRNA from 1 species